rnacentral:rRNA from 1 species
UGCAGUCGAGCGCGGUUGUGCUUAGUAUUGAGUGUUUUAUUGAUAUAAAACAUUGAAUUCUAUGCACAACUGAGCGGCGGACGGGUGAGUAACGCGUGGGUAACCUGCCCUAUACACAUGGAUAACAUACUGAAAAGUUUACUAAUACAUGAUAAAAUAGUUUUUCGGCAUCGAAGAAUUAUCAAAGUGUUAGCGGUAUAGGAUGGACCCGCGUCUGAUUAGCUAGUUGGUGAGAUAACUGCCCACCAAGGCGACGAUCAGUAGCCGACCUGAGAGGGUGAUCGGCCACAUUGGAACUGAGACACGGUCCAAACUCCUACGGGAGGCAGCAGUGGGGAAUAUUGCACAAUGGGCGCAAGCCUGAUGCAGCAACGCCGCGUGAACGAUGAAGGUCUUCGGAUCGUAAAGUUCUGUUGCAGGGGAAGAUAAUGACGGUACCCUGUGAGGAAGCCCCGGCUAACUACGUGCCAGCAGCCGCGGUAAUACGUAGGGGGCUAGCGUUAUCCGGAUUUACUGGGCGUAAAGGGUGCGUAGGUGGUCUUUCAAGUCGGUGGUUAAAGGCUACGGCUCAACCGUAGUAAGCCUCCGAAACUGUUAGACUUGAGUGCAGGAGAGGAAAGUGGAAUUCCCAGUGUAGCGGUGAAAUGCGUAGAUAUUGGGAGGAACACCAGUAGCGAAGGCGGCUUUCUGGACUGCAACUGACACUGAGGCACGAAAGCGUGGGUAGCAAACAGGAUUAGAUACCCUGGUAGUCCACGCCGUAAACGAUGAGUACUANGUGUCGGGGGUUACCCCCCUCGGUGCCGCAGCUAACGCAUUAAGUACUCCGCCUGGGGAGUACGCACGCAAGUGUGAAACUCAAAGGAAUUGACGGGGACCCGCACAAGUAGCGGAGCAUGUGGUUUAAUUCGAAGCAACGCGAAGAACCUUACCUAAGCUUGACAUCCCUCGGA